rnacentral:rRNA from 1 species
AGAGUUUGAUCAUGGCUCAGAUUGAACGCUGGCGGCAGGCCUAACACAUGCAAGUCGAACGGUAACAGGAAA